GAUCCUGGCUCAGGAUGAACGCUAGCUACAGGCUUAACACAUGCAAGUCGAGGGGAAACGAUAGAGAAAGCUUGCUUUUUCUAGGCGUCGACCGGCGCACGGGUGAGUAACGCGUAUCCAACCUGCCCAUCACUUGGGGAUAACCUUGCGAAAGUAAGACUAAUACCCAAUGACGUCUCUAGAAGACAUCUGAAGGAGAUUAAAGAUUAUCGUG
rnacentral:rRNA from 1 species